rnacentral:rRNA from 1 species
GUGGCUAGCGUUGUUCGGAUUUACUGGGCGUAAAGCGUACGUAGGCGGUUCCGUGUGUCGGGUGUGAAAUCCCACGGCUUAACCGUGGAACUGCACCCGAAACUGCGGGGCUAGAGUGCAGGAGGGGAGAGCGGAAUUCUUAGUGUAGCGGUGAAAUGCGUUGAUAUUAAGAAGAACACCGGUGGCGAAGGCGGCUCUCUGGAAUGUUACUGACGCUGAGGUACGAAAGUUGGGGGAGCAAACAGGAUUAGAUACCCUGGUAGUCCCAACCGUAAACGGUGUGAACUUGGUGUAGGGGGUAUUGACCCCCCCUGUGCCGGAGCUAACGCGUUAAGUUCACCGCCUGGGGAGUACGGCCGCAAGGCUAAAACUCAAAGAAAUUGACGGGGGCCCGCACAAGCGGAGGAGCAUGUGGCUUAAUUCGAUGCAACGCGAAGAACCUUACCUGGGCUUGACAUGGCGACCCUUCGGGGUGGUAGCGAAAGUUACCUUUACGAUCACAGGUGCUGCAUGGCUGUCGUCAGUUCGUGCCGUGAGGUGUUGGGUUAAGUCCCGCAACGAACGCAACCCUUGUGACUAGUUACCAGCGUCGGUGUUAAGCCGACAGGCACUCUAGCCAGACUGCCCGUCAAACGGGAGGAAGGUGGGGAUGACGUCAAGUCAAUAUGGGCCUUACGUCCAGGGCUGCACACGUGCUACAAUGGCCGGUACAGAAGGAAGCAACACC